rnacentral:snRNA from 1 species
GGAUGUGAGGGUGAUCUGCCUGUGACAUCUGUCACCCCAGGGAUCGCCAGGGUUGAUGUGGCUCUUCUGGCUGGCUAGGCAGGGGUCCUCUUCCUCCCUCACUGCUCCAUGCGUAUCGGUCCCCUUCCUCCCUCACUGCUCCAUGCGUAUGCCUCCCAAAGCCGCACACGGGGUCGAAGAGGACGACCUUCCGGAUAGAAGUACCGUUCGGUCAGGGGUAGAGGAGUAGCUGCACUCCCCUGCUAGAACCGCCAGACAAGCUCUGAAGGUCCAUUUGUGGGAGACUUUAGGGUAGUCGGGCUUCCAAGACUCCAGGCACAUCCGGACGAGGCCCUGCAGGUGGCCGUCUGCCUUUCUUC